rnacentral:rRNA from 1 species
UACAUGGGGUGCAAACGUUGCUCGGAAUUAUUGGGCGUAAAGCGCACGUAGGCGGUUCGUUAAGUCGGAUGGUGAAAGCCCUCGGCUCAACUGAGGAAGUGCACCCGAAACUGGCGAGCUUGAGUACGAAAGAGGAUCGCGGAAUUCCCGGUGUAGAGGUGAAAUUCGUAGAUAUCGGGAGGAACACCGGUGGCGAAGGCGGCGAUCUGGGUCGAUACUGACGCUGAGGUGCGAAAGCUAGGGGAGCAAACAGGG